CACGUAGGGUGCGAGCGUUGUCCGGAAUUAUUGGGCGUAAAGGGCUCGUAGGCGGUUUGUCGCGUCGGGAGUGAAAACCCAGGGCUUAACUCUGGGCUUGCUUUCGAUACGGGCAGACUAGAGGUAUGCAGGGGAGAACGGAAUUCCUGGUGUAGCGGUGAAAUGCGCAGAUAUCAGGAGGAACACCGGUGGCGAAGGCGGUUCUCUGGGCAUUACCUGACGCUGAGGAGCGAAAGUGUGGGAAGCGAACAGG
rnacentral:rRNA from 1 species